rnacentral:lncRNA from 1 species
GUUCUAUCUGUGAAGUGGGGUCCUCUAUGUUUGAUUUUGUUGUAGUAAUGUCCAAGAAAAGGUGUUACUCUGUGACGAUGUCCAGAUAAGACUACUGGUUCCUUUUCACUUAUAUUCAAGUCAGAUUUGGCAAUACUGCUUCCUUCUCGUAGUAGACGUUGCUCAUGCAAGGGCAGAUUGAGAUUGGCAAUAGGUCCUUCUUUCGGAAUAGGUUUGUGAAUGCUAUUGAUUUCCUCUCCAUGAACUUUAGGUUCUGUUGAUUUCGGAUUGAAACUUUCUUUAUCUAUAGAUUUUUCUAUAGAAGUCACAGAU